UAGAAAACCCUCCUCUCUCACCAACACUUGGUUGCAGUUAGUGGAUAAGAGCUAGUGCAGCUUAAGCAAGGUCUCGGAUUUGAGGCAUUGUGGUUGCAGCAGUGCGUGUUGGGAGAACUAUCCCCUCCAUUCGUAGGUCUUUAAGGCUUGCGGGUUAAUCCCCAUCAGUUAUUAAAGAGGGCUGGAUGGGGAAUUCCUUCCAGGCAACUGAAAAAAGAAGAAGACCCUCCUCUCUCAUUUUCCUUACAAUUGAAAACUCUCCUCGCUCUGGCUCCGAACCCAUCAUCCUCUCCAUAAAUAAAAUCAAACCCAAACCCUUAGGUCAACAUCCUUCCAAACCCCAAAAUCGAACCUCUUCAUUCGCAACACAUCUUCUCUUCUGGGUUUUGGACUUUGAGGGCUUCAAGUUCUCUGGGUUUGGACUUUCUAGGGUUGAUCCUUUUCAAAUAUGGGUUUGACUGCAAUUCGAAAGCAUUGGGUUUUCACUUGGUUUCUCAGAUUGUGGGGUUUGAUUUUUGAUUCAUUACUCACUUGCUUUUUUUAUCUUUAAUUUCUCAAAUUCUAGGUUCGGCUGGCAGUUCGAGCUUCAAUCAGCUUCUUGGAAUCAAGGGAGCUUCCCAAGGGACUAAUAAAAUGGAAGAUUCAUCUUCGGCUGACCAAACAUGUUGGUUCAAAAAAUAUUCCCAUUUCCCACCUGCAUGAUAAACCUUUUUAAGUCUUUGCAAGAACUCAGGAAUUUCAUGCAGUAAUAUUGCCAUAUAUAUAUAACUGCCGCGUAAGUUGUUAAUCCUUGAUAACCAUUCACCCACAUUGAAGAAAUUGUUCUUUAUUUGGGCUUCAACUUCAUCGUAAAGACUAUACCUGCCAUAGUUACUUUCUUUGUGAUCAUUCUUUGGAUAGAAUUGUUCUUCUGCCACCCAGCAUCAUGGUCUGGGUAGAAUUUUUGGAUCGUAGGUUGUGGAACUUUAAUUUUGUUUCUUUAUUAGUCCUGCUACAUCUGGUUGUAAUCUGUACCAACCACUGACAGGUAGAAUUCUUUUAUUUUUUUUCUAUUAGAUAUAAUCUUAAACAUGAUCUAGUGUUGUUUCAUCAAAUAGGUGGCUCUCCAUUGGUGGGAUUCUUGUAUUUAAUUUAUUUAUUUACUUAGUAAAAAAUUGAUAUAACUCAUUCCAACUAGUUUCUAUGUUCUUUUCUUAUAUGGAACCAUCUUUCUAUGAGGAAAUAAAAACUUCAUUAAACUCUGUAUAUUGUAUGAUGCUACUGAUAAUUAAGUUGAUCAUUUUGGGUAAAUCUAUUUGUAGGUUCUAAAGGCACAAUCUGCUGGAAAAGCAAAAGGCUGCUCUCAUGUUUAGUACCUUGACUGUGUCUACAAAAAAAUUCUAGAUGAGGUUUCAUCACGCAACAUAUUUGUUGUGAAGCAUAUUUUAACGUGACUGAAGAUGUAGAUGAAGAGACGGACCAUAAUUUGAGCAAGGCAAGGAGGCGAAAGAGAAGAUGAUGUAACCUAUAAUGAUUAACUGAAGAAACUCCAACAAUUUUGCUUACCACUCUUAACCAUGAUGUACUGUCGGCAUCUAUUAUCAAUUAGAGUCAAAUUGUAAUGCUACAUGGUCUAGAUGAUGGUUUAAGAUGCUUGAAGUUUGCUUCUCCUAUGUGUUGUGUCAUAACCCAUAACUCUCAACACUAUGGGAUUGAUAAAGAUGAUUAUUUACUCCACAUUUGUAUUUUUCUGUAUUUAUUGCAUACUUUGUGUUUAUUGCAUCUUUUAAUACUACUUUUGUAUUUAGGCAGGCUAAAAUUUGUUGAAAUUAAUGUUUUGUUGAAAGAACGAAGUUCUAGAACAUAAGGUUAUUUUGUGAAGGAGGGUGCUAAUCUCCACCAAGUUUCAAGGCAACCGCUGCUCAACUCCACAAGUUUUAUUAGUUUGGUUUAGACAACAUGAAUUUGUAAAAAGAGCAAUAUACAUUACACUGAAAGUAUGUAGAUUGAUUCUUUGAUGUACACGAAAAGUAGUCUUAUAAUUUUUUUUUAAACUGAAAAAAAAAUACAUGGCGUUUUUCAAUGAAAGAAAUUCCAUGACGUUUAACAAACGUCAUUAAUUUUAUAGUGUUUCCGAAACGCCACGGAAAAUCUUCAAACGCCAUGGACGUGUUUGGGAAAAGACGG